rnacentral:rRNA from 1 species
AGUGAACGCUGGCGGUAGGCCUAACACAUGCAAGUCGAACGGCAGCACAGUAAGAGCUUGCUCUUACGGGUGGCGAGUGGCGGACGGGUGAGGAAUACAUCGGAAUCUACUUUUUCGUGGGGGAUAACGUAGGGAAACUUACGCUAAUACCGCAUACGACCUACGGGUGAUAGCAGGGGAUCUUCGGACCUUGCGCGAUUGAAUGAGCCGAUGUCGGAUUAGCUAGUUGGCGGGGUAAAGGCCCACCAAGGCGACGAUCCGUAGCUGGUCUGAGAGGAUGAUCAGCCACACUGGAACUGAGACACGGUCCAGACUCCUACGGGAGGCAGCAGUGGGGAAUAUUGGACAAUGGGCGCAAGCCUGAUCCAGCCAUACCGCGUGGGUGAAGAAGGCCUUCGGGUUGUAAAGCCCUUUUGUUGGGAAAGAAAAGCAGCAGGUUAAUACCCCGCUGUUCUGACGGUACCCAAAGAAUAAGCACCGGCUAACUUCGUG